rnacentral:lncRNA from 1 species
AUCUCUUUCUAGAGAUCCCUCAUUUGUGGAGCUUUUCAUCUUAAGCCUAAAUCUUCAGCUAUGGAUUAUCUUAUUAAACUUGACCUAGACAGAAUGGGGAGUUGGGCAGGGAAGAGCCUGAUGAAGUUCAACAAGAGCAAGCGUAGAGUGGUCCUGCACAUGGGGAAGAAUAUCUGCAUGCGUCAGUGCAGGUAUGAGAGUAGCAGGAGUAUGAGCCAAGAGGUCACUCCUCGGAGAACUUGCCCUAAAGCCAGCUGAAGAACAAAUAAGCGGAUGAAGGAGUAACUUUGCAUAACUGAUCUGUAGCUCACUUUGACAUGGCUUUUUUUUAAGGGUGCUUAUGGCAAUGUCACACAGUUGUCUGCAAAGAUAUUGAAGGAAUUAAGCACCUAUUUAACUCAUCUCACACCAAUUUCUCUUAAACAUAGAGGAGUAACUUUGGAGGAAAAAAAAAAUGCUUCUUUGUCUUGUAUUACUUGAGAUUUUUCAUCUUCUCUCACAAAUGUGACAGGAAAUAAAAUAGGGCUCAGGAGAUACUUAAGUACUACAGAACAGUAAUACAUGUAUGCUUUAAUGCGUAUUACAUAUAUAAAUAAAAUACAUAAAUUGUUUGAUUUUUCACCUCAUUCCUAUGAGCAAAUUGAAUAUCACUGUUACUUUACAAGUUGCACAAGUUGUGCCUAACUUUUUAAUGAAGGAGGACUCAGGAAGCUUCAGAUUGAUCACUCCCAUCUUGACUUCUGAGGAGCUGAUGGAGUAACUAGUCCUGGAAACCAUUCACAGGCACAUGAAAUACAAGAAAGUCAUCUGAAGUAGUCAUCACAGAUUCACAAAAGGGAAGUCAUGCUUGACUAACAUAAUAAUUUUAUAAUGAAAUGAUUUCCUUGGUAAAUAACGGUGGAUAUUGUCUGUGUUGACUUUAGUAAGAAUUUUGACAAUGUCUCCUACUGUAUCCUCAUAGAAAAGCUGGAUUAAAAGGCAUUGAAGCCAUCUGAAAACUCUCUAGUUGCACAGUGAACCCUAAUGGUCAAUAGUAAGUCUAACACUGUACAGUAACUUUACGGAUGGUCUUAUAUUGUUCAUGGUCUUAUAUUUUUCAUUGAACUUGUAAGUAUCCAAUGAGCAAUGCAAGUGUUGUUCAUUACUUGCAUGUUUUAUUAUUUUUUUUAAUGUGUAUAAAAAAGAAAAACAACACAGAGGAAGAGAUAACUUUGGUGCCCAGUAUAUAUAAGUGGAUGAUGUCUUCUUGUUUUUCAAUUGGCCUGGUACCCAAGUUAUCUUCUCCUCCAUACCCAUUCUUACUCAAAGUUUAUAGAAGUCUGAAGUGCCAAUAUUUCAGUCACUCACACAGAUGAAACUGACUGUUCCUAUCUGGCAACAUCAUUCAGAAAUCCUAGCAAUGAACUCUGUUUUUUCAAGCACAAUUUUUUUUUAGCCUCUUCUGUUUGAGAACAUUCCCAACAAACAUUUACUCUGUGUGUAGAAUGUAACAUUUUGAAAGCAACAUUUCUUCUUAAUAUGAAGUAGUUUUUCUAAAGACUUCAUAGUCAAGUACAUAAAGAAAGCAAUAAAAGGUUUGUCAACAAAGCGAAUACUGAAGUAGAAAUUGAAAUAUUAUCCUUCUCCAAAAAUUGGUCGGUUGUCUUCCAUCAUUUUAUCUUUCAGAACCUGAUACUUUUUGAAAUCAGUUACAGCACUAUCAAGAUAGGCCCAAGGCUUAAGACUCUUUGAAAACACCAAAGGGAAUCAGAACAACUGUGGAGUACUAUAUGCUGGGGUGAGGGACUAGUGUCUGCACAAGGAAAAAUCACGUAUCUUAAGAGAAUACAAAAUAAUAUUCAUUAGGGAAUGAAUGUGUAAUAUAUAUCUCUGCUAGUAAUAGCAGAUUUCCACUUCCUCCAGGAUUGUUUGCGUUAUUGCUAUACUAAGAGAAUAUUCUGUGUAACAUCAGCAUGUUUGUUGCUGCAACAAGGUAUAUUGAAUUAAAGAGAAAAAAAAAUUGUCAAAGAUGCUUUGUGAAUGGUCUAAAGCAGGAUGAAGUAUAAUGUGAAGCUCUUCCAUGGC